CACGUAGGUGACAAGCGUUGUCCGGAUUUACUGGGCGUAAAGAGCGCGCAGGCGGUCGAUCAAGUCGAGUGUGAAAGCCCCCGGCUCAACUGGGGAGGGUCAUUCGAAACUGGUCGACUCGAAGGCAGGAGAGGGUAGUGGAAUUCCCGGUGUAGUGGUGAAAUGCGUAGAUAUCGGGAGGAACACCAGUGGCGAAGGCGACUACCUGGCCUGUUCUUGACGCUGAGGCGCGAAAGCUAGGGGAGCAAACGGG
rnacentral:rRNA from 1 species